UGAUCUAUUUAAGAACAUAGAACAAUGCAAAGUUGGAUGCGUCAUGCGUGUACAUAUUCAAAUGGACCUAAAAGCAGUAGUCUAUAUCCGUGGCGUGCGUAGGGUAAGUGGGGCUCAAGGCAAAUUUUAAAACAAUAUAGUAUUUUUAACAUAUUUUUUAUUUAUAAGAAGCAUGAUUCUAAAAGAAAAACAAUUCUUGAACGGGGAAGAGUCGAAGUUGCCUUUCAUGUGCACAUCGAUACCUCAAGCAACCACUACACUACAACAUAUUUUACAAAUUAGGAGCCCCAAAAUCUUUAUAUUUUGAAGGGGGCCUGAGGCAAAAGCCUUUUCUGAUACAUACUAGGCACGGCUCUGCGUAUAAGGUAACCAGGAAAAUGUGACUUAAUUUCGUAUGGUAGAUGGAUCAAACUUAAAAUGUAAUGAUAUCCCAAACUUAUUCCCUUACCAUUUGACCACGAGCUCCCGGUCGUCUUGUUUGAACAUGCUUACAUGUGUGUUGGUCGUCAUAUAUGCACGUUUUGAAAUGUAUGUAUUGGCAAAUGACAAUGAAGUUUAGAGCGUGGUUUUUAUUAAUUGU
rnacentral:lncRNA from 1 species